UCUCUCUAGGCACUUGCAUCCCCAAAAUCCCAAAACCCAGAAACCUUUCCCACCCGUCUCCCCCAACCUUCCUUUACUACCAAAACCGCCGCCCUCACCUACCAAUCACCUUCUUCGAUGCUAAGGAGGCCGACGAUGGCUUCACGCGUAGCUCCUCGAGCUGGUCCCUGUUCAUGUACACCCAAAAAAAAAAAAUAAUAAAUAAAUAAAAUAAACCCAGUUUGUCUUCCCCACUCCCUUCUCCCCACCAGAGUCUACUCCCAAAUUAGACACACCUUAUCUCCCCACCCCCCGUCUCCUCACUCGAACCCACCCCCAAAAUUAGAGACAUUCAUUCUCUCUCUCUCUCUAAUCCCUAGCCCCAAAUCAGAGACACUCCAUUUCUCUCUCUAAUCUUUGAGAUUAUUUGGAAAGGUAAUGCCAUGGCUCACGGUGGCUACAGUAAGCGGCGAGUGAACCCAGGACGUCGGUCCAAGUCGACCUUGGGCCCAGAAACGAAGCCUAAGUCCUUCACCCUAAAAAACUAGAUACGUUCCAUCGAGCGUAUGCCCCGUAGGCUUGAAAUUAAGCAGCUGAUCCAAUGGCGAAGCAGAUGCGGAUGAGAUUGUUGUGUUCUUGGACUGAGGUUGCACCUGCCCUUUUGAUAUCUCACAACAAGACUUCAACAUGUCCUGUAUUGGAGACAAUAACUGAAGACUGGGAGAUGGAGGCCGAGGAGAAAGACUUGCAGGACUCAAAAAAAUGAAAUGUUAAAAGUUUGUGGACUUCUAAUAAAUUUUCAGGGUUCCCAUGUCCUGAUUAUUUAUAUUUUUCAGUUUUUUGUGUGAAUUUGUAGAAGUUUGUGGACUUGGUUGGAUUAUUUAACAGAAUUAUGUAGUUUCAGUGGGCUUCCAUUCCAUCCUAUAUUUAUGAAAAGGAAAAAAAAUUGAUGCCUUUGUA